GUUUCAUUUUGUUUGCUCUAUUUGCUUCUGUUUGGUUCUUAAACGGUUUACGUUACAAAGGUUUCUUCUGUUGAGUUAUGUUUUAUUCUUAAACGGAAGUUGUAGUUAAGUCAUGUUUCUCUUUAAAAAAAAGUGUCUGGAAGAUUUCACUCCACUUUAGAUCAUGGAAGAACCGAUCAUUUAUAGAUGUGCAGCUUGUGUCACACACUUCUUAGACUAUUCAGAUUGGAAUGGCAACCCGUUGAAACCAUACAAUUAAAAUUAACUCUAACUUCUGUUUAAGAACAAUAGGUUGAAGAUUUGCAACGGAAUCUGAGUAAUGAAUACACCCCUGCUGCUGCUCAUGUUCUCAGUUUUCCUGGGAAUUGGCUACUUUGAAAACAAUGUCGCGGGUGAAAAUGUAUUGGUUGCGAGUUGUAGGUUUUUGAGCUACUUCUAAAUUGCAUUGCGGACGCCAUAGCAUUUCACUUUUUGUGUUAUCUAUUCAUUUCACUGUGACCUGCUGCUGCUGACUAUCAGAUCAGGCAGUGAGGUAGGCUGCUGCUGCUAAGUGAGGGUGUGGUGCGGGGAAGGCACUUCAUAUACAGUCGUUGGAAGGGAGGGACGGACCGGAGUGCCAGAUUUAAGCCUAGGCAACGCUACCACCGUGUGGCUGUCGUCUACCUUUGAACGUCUGACUAACAUGACAUGAUACCAAAACCUUACCAACGUCUGCGUGUACCUAACAUGUCGUCAUACCAACGCAUUACUAACAUUGCGUCAUGCAUGAGUGUUAAUAAAAUUCAUAAGGUGCGUAGUUAUAUUCAUUCAAUCUCAACCAUAAAGACAGAGAGUGCUUCUGCUGCACCAGACAGCUCAGCUGAGUCACGUCCGAGAAGAGCAGCACGAGCGCACAUCAUGACAAGUGACGUGAGAUUCAACAACAGCAGCCCUAGGUAGCUAGCUACAUACUUCUUCUUUGCUUCAUUCUUUGUGUCCUGACCGCCCCCAGUCCUACCAAAUCAUGACAGCCAACACAGAAAGGGAGAGAAACGGAGAAAUGCACAAACAGUUUCAGAGAGAGGAUCGAACAAUGUGCUUUCUCUCUGGAUAUGUAUGGGCAGAAAGUUGAAGACAGAGGAACGAACCGAUUUGAUUCGCUAGUUUACUGUCUAGACACGAUUCUACUGUCAGAAUGGCAGGUAAAAUGGGCAAAAUAUUGCAAAGGCUGAGAAAGAGAACGGGUUAUAGUGUAAUUGAUUAAGAGCAUCCCAGGAAAUGACAAAGCUUACUGUCGGUAUUGCAAAUCAGAAAUGAGAGCCCACCACGAUCUUAUUUCUCAUGAACAAAUGGAGAAACACAAGAAAAACGCUGAUCCAUUUUCUAAUGCAAGAAUAUGACACAAGAACUGCAUUUGUAAGAGAGAAUAACACAGUUAAACAGCGUUAUUGAUGGCUACACAUUGCAUGCCACUCCAGCAUUGCAACUGUUGAUCACCUGGGAUGUGUUGUUGAAGACAUUAUCUUCAACAGUAUCCACAGAACAAAAUGCACAGCGCUCAUCAAUGCAGUUAUAGGGCCUGCGGUGCAUGAGGAACUAAAGGACAUUGGGAAUGAGUCUUACUCAUUGAUUAAUGAUGAAAUUAGUGAUGUCACAACCAAAAAGCAACUGUGUGUGGUGAUAUGAUACCACAGCAAGAAACUCUCUGAAAUCACACAAAAAAAACAAGAAAAAAGCAUGGUGAGUACCUUUUACUAUCGUUAUCUUUACGCUGUUGGCUAGAGCGCAUGUCUAGCCUACCAUGAUGCGGUUAUUAUGGACAAAAGGGCAAUAAUUUUUUUUGUUGUCAUGUCAGCAGAAUAAGACCCUCGAUAUUUAUUGGAAAGGAGCAUCAAGCUCAUCACCUUACACUUUCACCACCCUGUGAAGUUCCUAAUUUAUUUUAUUUGUAGCCUAAUAAACUGCAUGCUUUCCUGACUCAUAGUGGGAGGACCACGUCAUUGACGUUUACUUCGAUAUGAUGGAUUUAUAUCAAUACUUGCGUAUUAAAGCGUUUCCACUGACAUUUCUCGCAUAAUACAUUUUACAGACACAAAAAGAUCCCACCUUUCCGAGCGCAUUUAGUUUUGUCUACAUUUGGAAAGUUUACGGAAACGAGUUCUGUUUCCAUUAGGCCUGUCAUUAUUUUUUUACUCUCGUAAAAAGGCAUACGGCGACAAGGAGAACUCUGAGGGGGUGGUCAAAGUCCUCUCGUACAUGGAAGCGGUUUAGAAGGUCAAUAACACUAUUGACGAGAUAGAGCUCGCCCAUCUGAUAGAGGAGCACAGGCUGGAGCGGGAACAACUACUGAGAGACCACCUGAAGUCCAAAGAGGUGGACAGUGUGCACCAACCAACUUAGUUAACCAACUCUUAAAAGGGGUAUGGAAAACAUUGUUAAAGGAGAUGCCCAUGGCAUCAGUGCUAAGAGUCAUGGGUAAGAUGACACCAGACCAAGUCCUCUAACCAGGAAGCUCAGACGUGGUAGCGGUUUGCGAGACGAUCAAGAGUUAGGUGGCUUUAAAAAAGGCAAAAGUCCACCCCUUCAGCAUCUUGGCGGCAUCAGAAAAUGACAUGGUGGAUCCGGCGGGAAAGCGUUUUGUGGUGGCCGUGGACAUUAGCACGCCUCUGAGCAGCAUUGUUCAGGGGACCUCAGUCACGGCUGCAGCGAUAGUCAUGGUUCUUGUGCGGACGGAGGCAGAGACACUCUGAGGGAGCUAUGGUUCCUUGCACAAUUUCAGCCGACAUGUCUCUUCGUGAAGUAACAGCUAAGCUGGUCAAGAUAACCAGUGGCUAUACAGACUGUGCUCUCCCCAACCUGUGGGCUUCGGAGAAAGGGAUCACUGUGAACAUGUUCAUCAUAUUCACCAACAGCGCCUGCUGGCACGGCCAACCCGGGGGAGUGUCCGAGGAUGUACAGACAUAAAAUAGGUAGCUUUUCCAAACUGAUAGUGUGCGGGCUGACCUCAAAGGCCACUCCAUCGCCGCCCCUGCUGAGGACAGGGGCAUGCUCGACCUCUAGGGCUUUGACUUGGGAACCGCGGACGUCAUCCGUAACCUUAUCCUGAUCUUCGAACAAAUUCUGGACCGUACAAAGAAAUAAAAACAUUGGUGGAAAGACUAUGAAAUUGACUUGGCUCGCAAUGACGCACAAAGUGCCCUGGAGAACGGGAAUUCAAAAAGAUAUUGAUAUUUACAAUACUGUUUUUUAUUUUGAUCAUGAGUGAAAUGAAGAUGCGUCCAGCAGGUUCAAUCAAAUUGUGGAAAUGUGUAUUCGGUUAUUAUCUUAAAGUUGGUAAAGGAGAUCUAAAACGAUAUCAUGAUAUGCGACUACAUAUAUAUCACACUACAAGAAUGGAUAUCAAAGUAAAGAUUCACCCAUUUUUUUAUGUCAUAUUGUAUUUGUGCAAUUAAAAAUGGGUGAAUCAUUCCUUUAAUGCGUACAGUACUCUUACGUUAUAACAAUGCUUUCUUUCAAGAAUAAAUAAUGGUAGACAUUA